rnacentral:tRNA from 1 species
GGAGGAGUGCCAGAGCGGUCGAAUGGGACAGUCUUGAAAACUGUUAGGCCUGCAAAGGUCUCGGGGGUUCGAAUCCCUCCUCCUCCGCCA